rnacentral:rRNA from 1 species
UGGGGAAUAUUGGUCAAUGGGCGAGAGCCUGAACCAGCCAAGUAGCGUGAAGGAUGACUGCCCUAUGGGUUGUAAACUUCUUUUAUAAAGGAAUAAAGUCGGGUAUGUAUACCCGUUUGCAUGUACUUUAUGAAUAAGGAUCGGCUAACUCCGUGCCAGCAGCCGCGGUAAUACGGAGGAUCCGAGCGUUAUCCGGAUUUAUUGGGUUUAAAGGGAGCGUAGAUGGAUAUUUAAGUCAGUUGUGAAAGUUUGCGGCUCAACCGUAAAAUUGCAGUUGAUACUGGAUAUCUUGAGUGCAGUUGAGGCAGGCGGAAUUCGUGGUGUAGCGGUGAAAUGCUUAGAUAUCACGAAGAACUCCGAUUGCGUAGGCAGCCUGCUAAGCUGCAACUGACAUUGAGGCUCGAAAGUGUGGGUAUCAAACAGGAUUAGAUACCCUGGUAGUCCACACGGUAAACGAUGAAUACUCGCUGUUUGCGAUAUACGGCAAGCGGCCAAGCGAAAGCGUUAAGUAUUCCACCUGGGGAGUACGCCGGCAACGGUGAAACUCAAAGGAAUUGACGGGGGCCCGCACAAGCGGAGGAACAUGUGGUUUAAUUCGAUGAUACGCGAGGAACCUUACCCGGGCUUAAAUUGCAGAUGAAUUACGGUGAAAGCCGUAAGCCGCAAGGCAUCUGUGAAGGUGCUGCAUGGUUGUCGUCAGCUCGUGCCGUGAGGUGUCGGCUUAAGUGCCAUAACGAGCGCAACCCUUGUUGUCAGUUACUAACAGGUUUUGCUGAGGACUCUGACAAGACUGCCAUCGUAAGAUGUGAGGAAGGUGGGGAUGACGUCAAAUCAGCACGGCCCUUACGUCCGGGGCUACACACGUGUUACAAUGGGGGGUACAGAGGGCCGCUACCACGCGAGUGGAUGCCAAUCCCCAAAACCUCUCUCAGUUCGGACUGGAGUCUGCAACCCGACUCCACGAAGCUGGAUUCGCUAGUAAUCGCGCAUCAGCCACGGCGCGGUGAAUACGUUCCC